rnacentral:rRNA from 1 species
GACGGAGGAUGCAAGCGUUAUCCGGAAUGAUUGGGCGUAAAGCGUCCGCAGGUGGCAGUUCAAGUCGGCUGUGAAAGUCCAGGGCUCAACCCUGGAAAGCCGGCCGAUACUGUCGGACUAGAGUCCGGAAGAGGCAAGUGGAAUUCCCGGUGUAGCGGUGAAAUGCGCAGAUAUCGGGAGGAACACCAAUUGCGAAGGCAGCUUGCUGGGACGGUACUGACGCUGAGGCGCGAAAGCGUGGGGAGCAAACAGG